GACGUAGGGUGCGAGCGUUGUCCGGAUUUAUUGGGCGUAAAGAGCUCGUAGGCGGCUCGUCGCGUUCGACCGUGAAAACCCGCAGCUUAACUGCGGGCUUGCGGUUGAUGGCGGGCGGGCUAGAGUUCGGUAGGGGAGACUGGAAUUCCUGGUGUAGCGGUGAAAUGCGCAGAUAUCAGGAGGAACACCGGUGGCGAAGGCGGGUCUCUGGGCCGUAACUGACGCUGAGGAGCGAAAGCAUGGGGAGCGAA
rnacentral:rRNA from 1 species